rnacentral:sRNA from 1 species
AUUUUAUACUUUACAAUUAUUAUUAAGAACGUCUUGCCAAACCCGUCCCGCCAAACCCGUCCCGUAAAAAAAACAUUUAUUUAUAUUAAUGUUGAUCUUAUUUCUGAUAUGUUUAUAAAUUAUUGUCUAAAUAUUUUUGUCGAUGCGGGACGUUGAACCCACACAUUUUUUGCCAGUUGGUUAAUAUAUGUUUAUUU